rnacentral:lncRNA from 1 species
UGAAGGAGAGUUGGUGCCAAGAAAGAACCUCUUCCAAAAAAGGUCAAAAAAAAAAAGAGCAACUGUGGAAGAAGGAGCAACUAAGUGUUUAGAUCAGCUUUUCUGCACUAGACAGAAGAUUUAAGUUUGGGUCUUCCAUCCUUCUGCAGGACUUGAACAUAUUUUGUCUUGUCUGACAUGAUGUAUCUAUGAUUAACAAUAAAAAGUGUACUCUGG